CUAGCGGAGACGCUGGAGUGCCUUCGGGAACUCUGAGACAGGUGCUGCAUGGCUGUCGUCAGCUCGUGUUGUGAAAUGUUGGGUUAAGUCCCGCAACGAGCGCAACCCUUAUCCUUGUUUGCCAGCGAGUAAUGUCGGGAACUCCAGGGAGACUGCCGGUGAUAAACCGGAGGAAGGUGGGGACGACGUCAAGUCAUCAUGGCCCUUACGAGUAGGGCUACACACGUGCUACAAUGGCGCAUACAGAGGGCGGCCAACUUGCGAAAGUGAGCGAAUCCCAAAAAGUGCGUCGUAGUCCGGAUUGGAGUCUGCAACUCGACUCCAUGAAGUCGGAAUCGCUAGUAAUCGUGGAUCAGAAUGCCACGGUGAAUACGUUCCCGGGCCUUGUACACACCGCCCGUCACACCAUGGGAGUGGGCUGCAAAAGAAGUGGGUAGUUUAACCUUCGGGAGGACGCUCACCACUUUGUGGUUCAUGACUGGGGUGAAGUCGUAACAAGGUAGCGCUAGGGGAACCUGGCGCUGGAUCACCUCCUUAUACGAUGAU
rnacentral:rRNA from 1 species